CCGUUUCUGUGUGUUGGGUUUCAUUCUUAGGUUCGAUCUGGUGCAAACGUUCUGAUUUGUGGGCCGAAUGGGUGUGGGAAAAGCUCGCUUUUUCGUGUUCUUGGUGAGUUAUGGCCUUUGUUUGGUGGGCGUCUGACUAAACCUGUAAGAGGAAAGUUAUUUUAUGUUCCUCAGAGACCAUAUAUGACUCUUGGAACACUCAGAGAUCAAGUCAUAUAUCCAGAUACUUUAGAAGAUCAACGAAAGAAAGGGAUUUCUGAUCAGGUGCUGAAGGAGUAUUUGGAUAAUGUCCAGCUCGGUCAAAUCUUGGAACGCGAAGGAGGCUGGGAUAGUGUUCAGGACUGGAUGGAUGUUCUCAGCGGGGGAGAGAAACAGAG